rnacentral:rRNA from 1 species
AUGGCUCAGGAUGAACGCUAGCGGCAGGCUAACACAUGCAAGUCGAGGGGCAGCGGGAUGUAGCAAUACAUGCCGGCGACCGGCGGAUGGGUGCGUAACGCGUAUGCAACCUACCUUAUACAGGGGAAUAACCUUUCGAAAGGGAGACUAACACCCCAUAGUAUUGAUUUAAGGCAUCUUAGAUUAAUUAAAUAUUUAUAGGUAUAAGAUGGGCAUGCGUAUGAUUAGCUAGUUGGUAAGGUAACGGCUUAUCAAGGCGACGAUCAUUAGGGGUUCUGAGAGGAAGGUCCCCCACACUGGUACUGAGACACGGACCAGACUCCUACGGGAGGCAGCAGUGAGGAAUAUUGGUCAAUGGGCGCAAGCCUGAACCAGCCAUGCCGCGUGCAAGGAAGACGGCCUUAUGGGUUGUAAACUGCUUUUACAUAAGACUAACCGUAUAUUUGCGAAUAUACCUGAAUGUAUUAUGAGAAUAAGGAUCGGCUAACUCCGUGCCAGCCGCCGC